UACGGGGGGAGCAAGCGUUGUUCGGAUUUACUGGGCGUAAAGGGCGCGUAGGCGGUCAGCACAAGUCAGUUGUGAAAUCUCCGGGCUUAACUCGGAACGGUCAGCUGAUACUGCUUUGCUAGAGUGCAGAAGGGGCAAUCGGAAUUCUUGGUGUAGCGGUGAAAUGCGUAGAUAUCAAGAGGAACACCUGAGGUGAAGACGGGUUGCUGGGCUGACACUGACGCUGAGGCGCGAAAGCUAGGGUAGCAAACGGG
rnacentral:rRNA from 1 species